rnacentral:rRNA from 1 species
AGAACGAACGCUGGCGGCAUGCCUAACACAUGCAAGUCGAACGAGACCUUCGGGUCUAGUGGCGCACGGGUGCGUAACGCGUGGGAAUCUGCCCUUGGGUUCGGAAUAACUCAGAGAAAUUUGAGCUAAUACCGGAUGAUGACGUAAGUCCAAAGAUUUAUCGCCCAAGGAUGAGCCCGCGUAAGAUUAGGUAGUUGGUGGGGUAAAGGCCUACCAAGCCGACGAUCUUUAGCUGGUCUGAGAGGAUGAUCAGCCACACUGGGACUGAGACACGGCCCAGACUCCUACGGGAGGCAGCAGUGGGGAAUAUUGGACAAUGGGCGAAAGCCUGAUCCAGCAAUGCCGCGUGAGUGAUGAAGGCCUUAGGGUUGUAAAGCUCUUUUACCCGGGAUGAUAAUGACAGUACCGGGAGAAUAAGCCCCGGCUAACUCCGUGCCAGCAGCCGC